rnacentral:lncRNA from 1 species
AGGCAGGAGAAUGGCGUGAACCCGGGAGGCGGAGCUUGCAGGGAACGGAGAUUGAGCCACUGCACUCCAGCCUGGGCAACAGAGCGAGACUCCGUCUCAAAAAAAAAAAAAAAAAAAGAAAGAAAGGAAAAAAAAGAAAUAAUCCCACGUUACGAUGGAAAUUUCACGCUGAAUACUUGGUGUUAGGAUCUCAGGAAGGGAUCAUGCAUACAUGUCUGUCAUGAGUCAACUCCCAGAACACAUAGCAUAGGAGGCAAGGGAAGGCUGCCCCUUCACCCGCUAAAAGUUUGCUAAAAAUAACUGACAGGCCAGGCAUGGUGGCUCACGCCAGUAAUCCUAGUACUUUGGGAGGCCGAGGUGGGAGGAUCACUUGAGCUCAGGAGUUCAAAAUGUUCCUGGGCAACAUAGUGAGACCUUGUCCCUAUUUUAUAUUUAUUUUUUAAAAGUUUUUACCAAAGAAAUGACUGACAACAAGUGGAUUAAUAGGAGAAAAAAGCAUAUGAGCCGGGCGUGGUGGCUCAUGCCUGUAAUGCCAGCACUUUGGGAGGCCGAGGCAUGAGGAUCACGAGCUCAGGUGAUCAAGACCAUCCUGGCUAACACGGUGAAACCCCGUCUCUACUAAAAAUACAAAAAUUAGCCAGGCGAGGUGGUGCACGCCUGUAGUCCCAGCUACUCGGGAGGCUGAGGCAGGAGAGUGGCCUGAACCCGGGGGGCGGGGCUUGCAGUGAGCCGAGAUCGCCUCACUGCACUCCAGCCUAGGCGACAAGAGCAAGACACCAUCUCAAAAAAAAAAAAAAAAAAGAAAAAGGCAUAUGAAUUUAUUCACCAUGCAUAAACGCCAGGGGAGUGGCGGGAGAAUGAUUAUCCAAUAACCCAGUGAAGUCCAUCGCUGGGCACAGUGGCUCACACCUGUAAUCCUGGCAGUCUGGGAGGCCGAGUCAGGUGGAUUGCUUGAGGUCACUAGUUUGAGACCAGCCUGGGAAACAUGGUGAAACCCUGUCUCUACCAGAAAUACAAAAAAAAAAAAAUUAGCCAGCCUUGGUGGUGCACACCUGUGCUCCCAGCUACUCGGGAGGCUGAGGUGGGAGGAUCGCUUGAGCCCCGGAAGCAGAGGUUGUAGUGAGCCGAGAUCACGCUGCUGCACUCCAGCCUGGGUAACUGAGACCUUGUCUCAAAAAAAUAUAAAAAUAUAAAUAAAUACUUCCGUCAUAGAAGGGAGAUGGGGGAAAUGCGGCCACUCUCAGGGGUAGUAAAUGAUUUUUAGGAGGAAUGAAUGGGUCUGAUGCUGGGACAACGGUCAGUGAAUAAUUCCUUUAGGGAGUCGAAUGGGAUCGGAGGACAGAUGAUAGUUUGGGAUGAAGUCCGUCUGCACUCCAGGUGUGGUGUUUCAUUUCAUUCUCUUCCUCUGUGAUAUGAGUUUUCAUCUCUGGUUAAUGAAAUUUCAGUGAAGGAGUCGAAGGCAAUUGUGUUCCUCUUUGGCGGGUGUGGUUUCCAGGUAGAUAAGGGAACUCCAGAUAGCAGGCUCCUCCUAUGCUUUGGGACGGACAGAGGAUGGAGAAACAGGAUUGGGGGUGGGGGCGGGGGGGUGGUGUUGGAGAGACCUUGAGGCUGCUUCAGUUGAGCACAUCAAAGAGCCAUAUUUUGGGGUACCGUUUUCUGAGCCCCAACAAUAGGUAGGGUUAAGAAUAGAGACCUGGGAGCCAGCUGUCCUGUGUUUGAACUUGACUCUUCUACUGAGUGGUCGGGUGACCUCUGCCAAGAUACUUGCCCUCUUUGUGCCUCAGUUCCCCCAUCUACAGUUACUAGAAUAUUAGGGCACAGCAUAGGGAUGUGGUGAGGAUGAAAUACAUGAACGUCUGUAAAGAACUAAGCACGGCGCCUGACAUUGAUGAUGUGCUAUAUAAGUCUUAGCUAUUAUAUAAGAAUAAUAAAUGUGAACUAUUAUUGUAAGAUGAAAUGCGCCAGCCACAGCAGGCCAGGAACAUCAGUAAUGUGGCCGAGCCUGUCCUCUGUGCGAAACGCUUUACAGGCCCUCAUCUCACCUAAUGGCCACAGCCAACCUGCAGGUGAGCCUAAUUGACAUCUGAGGCUGGGGAAACUGAGGCUCAGGCCGGUGAAGAGAGGUAUUUAAGGUUAACCAGCAGGCAAGCAGUGUGACCUCAGAUGCAGGGCUGGUUUCCAGGGGCUGGGACCCACGCUUAGUUGACUGCUUUGAGGCCAAGGCAUGGGAAUUGCUUGAGACCAGGGGUUGCAGACCAGCCUGGGCAACAUAGCCACACUCUCAUUUCUUUAAAAACAAAAACAAAAAAAUGACCCAGGCAUGGUGGCACGCCCCGGUAGUCCCAGCUACUCAGGAGGCUGAGGGGGUAGGUUGGCUUGAGCCCAGGAUGUCCAGGCUGCAGUGAGCUGUGAUAGUGCCACCUUAACAAUUUUGCUCCAGCCUUACUAACUUUGGAACAAGGGGCCUCACAUUUUCAUUUUGCAAAUUAUGUAGCCAAUCCUGCCCUGAUCUAAAGUACUCCAGAGCUGUCACUCUUAACUCCUACCAGCCAUAUAUCACACAGCCAGGCCCACAGUCACCUUCCAAGUCAUCAGGAUGGUGUUUUGUAGUAGGACUGAGAUCCUGGGAGAAUGUGAAGACUCCUUAUGGGGCUGAAUUGCCAACAUUAAAAGGCAGGCGGGGCAGUUGCUAAGGGCAGAGGGCAUCACUCCUUCAUUGCUGUAUCCUCAGGGCCUGGUCUGUGUUAGAUGUUCAGUUAAUAGUUUUAACAUGAAGCCAGUGAAUCGGAGACUGCUCUAUCUCCCCGGACCCAACCUACUUAAAUGACACCUUCCAGGGAAGCAAGUCAGUGGUGCAGUGUCAGAUGUCAAUCAUCCCGAACACCACCCUCCAUCCCCCAGUAGACUUCUGGACAGCCCCUGAGGGUCCCCUAAGACCCUCCCCCUGCCCCAAACCUGUGUGCCCACACCUUGGAGUAGAUUCCUGCUUAACGGGCUCUGGUGGGGGGUUCAGAGGUAACACAAGUAUUUAAAGGCAUGUGGAGGCCAGGCGCGGUGGCUCACACCUGUAAUCCCAGCACUUUGGGAGGGCAAGACAGGUGGAUCACCUGAGGUCAGGAGUUUGAGACCAGCCUGGCCAACAUGGUAAAAUGCCGUCUCUAGUAAAAAUACAAAAAUUAGCCUGGCCUGGUGGCGUGCGCCUGUAAUCCCAGCUACUCAGGAGGCUGAGGCAUGAGAAUCGCUUGAACCUGGUGGCGGAGGUUGCAGUGAGCCGAGAUCUCACCACUGCACUCCAGCCUGGGUGACAGUGAGACUCCAUCUCAAAAUAAUUAAAUUAAAAAUAAAGGCAUAUGGGCUUGGCUUCUCGAGUGCCUAUAGUGGGGAAGAGGCAGAGUAUAGCCCAAAGAAUACUUGGAUGUUAGUUCAGGCAGGUUCAAGACCCAGCCAGGGGUCAUGGGUUAUGGUCUUCUGAAUUGGUUAAUGAGAGGGUUUGAAGGAAAGAUUCCUUUUCCUCUGAAGUUGGAAGUUUAUUGACACUCAAAACUCCUAAAUGGUACUAAGAAGCAAAGAAUGGUUUCAAAAGCCUAGAAGAUAUUUAUAACAAAACUUUUUUUUUUUUUGAGACAGUGUCUCAGUCUGUUGCCCAGGCUAGAGUGCAGUGGUGCCAUCUCAGCUCACUGCAACCUCUGCCUCCAGGGUUCAAGUGAUUCUCCCACCUCAGCUUCAGUAGCUGGGAUUAUAGGCACACACCACCGUGCCCAGCUAAUUUGUGUAUUUUUAGUAGAGAUGGGGUUUCACCAUGUUGGCCAGGCUGGUCUCGAACUCCUGACCUCAAAUGAUCUGCCCGCCUCAGCCUCCCAAACUGCUGGGUUUACAGGCGUGAGCCCCCACACCUGGCCAAUAUAUUUUUAUAAUGUUCUUUGCCAGCUGUUUGCACAGGUAUGAUCCAUUGUUUCAAAUAAUGCUGUGAAGCAGAAGCUGUCCUCACUUUCUAAAUAACAUCAUAACCAUCGAUAUGUAUUGAAUGCUUUGUAUGUACUAGGCGCUGCACCUGUAUGAAGUCAGUCAUUUCAGUUGCAUAAGCAACAUAUAAAAAGGGAUUAUUGGUAUCUCCAGCUUACUGAUGAGGAAAGAGAGAUGCACUGACGUCCAAGGCCACAUACCCGGCAUGUGAGGAACUGGGGCUCAGGCCUGGAUCUUCCAUUCCAAGGGUCAGCAGCCCAUUUCUGUAAAAGGCCACAUUGUGAAGAUUUUAGCCUUUGCAGGCAAUACAGUCUCUGUUGCAGCUGCUCAACUCUGCCUUUUUUUUUUGGUUGGGAGGGACGGAAUCUUGCUCUGUUGCCCAGGCUGGCGUGUGGUGGCGCAAUCUCGGCUCACUGCAACCUACGAUUCCCUGGUUCAAGUGAUCCUCCUGCCUCAGCCUCCUGAGUAGCUGAGAUUACAGGUGCCCGCCACCAUGCCCAGCUAAUUUUUUUUUUGUCUCAGUGUUUUAUUUUUUUAUUUAUUAUUAUACUUUAAGUUCUAGGGUACAACGCCCAGCUAAUUGUUGUAUUUUUAGUAGAGAUAGGGGUUUCAGCAUGUUGGCCAGGCUGGUCUCCAUCUCCUGACCUCGUGAUCCACCCCCCUCGGCCUCCCAAAGUGCUGGGAUUACAGGUGUGAGCCACCGUGCCCGACCAACUCUGGCAUUUUAACUCAAAAGUAGCCACAGAUAGUACACAAACAAACGGAUGUGGCUGUGUGUUGCAAUAAAACUUUAUUCACAAAAACAAGGAGUGGGCCAAACUUGGCCCACAGGCCGUAUUUCCUGACUCCUGUUCCAGAGCAAAAGCUUAUCCUUCAGUUAGAACAUCAUGAACUUGGCCCUGGCAACGUUCUUUUCUCCCCACCUGUGAGGUGACAGAGUUAUGUUUCGGAACAGAUGACCACUGUCUCUGGAGAGGUUAGGUUGGCUCCUCCUUCUUUGAGGGAAUUCUGCAGCUCUUGGAAAUUAGAUCUAUUAGGAUUUCUUGGUGACAGCCACAAUAGAAUACCCUGGGGAUUUCAACAUUGUAAUUUUAGUAGCUGUCAACUGAGUAACUUUUAAAGAGGAAAGAAAGUGUGGUAGUUCAGAAAAAUACCUCAGUGGUUCACUUUGCCUGUGGAAGCCAUUCUUUAAACUGAGAAUAAAAAUCUUUUUUUUUUUUUUUUUUUAUAAUCAGUGUCUUGCUCUGUUGCCCAAGCUGGAGUGCACUGGUGCCAUUAUAGCUCACUGCAGCCUUAAACUCCUGAGCUCAGGUGAUCCUCCUGCCUCAGCCUCCUGAGUAGCUGGGACUACAGAUGAACAUCACUCUUGGCUUUUUUUUUUCUUUUUUUUGAGAUGGAGUCUCGCUCUGUC